AGCUCAACCACUUCUCAAAGAGUCUCAGAAGAGGGAUUAUUAUGACAUCCUGGGAGUAAAAAGAACUGCCCAGAAAAAUGACAUUGUGAAAGCCUACAGGAGACUGGCACAAAAGUGGUAUCCUGACAUGUUCCAGGAUCCAU